rnacentral:rRNA from 1 species
AUUGAACGCUGGCGGAAUGCUUUACACAUGCAAGUCGAACGGUAGAGGGGGCAACCCCUCGAGAGUGGCGAACGGGUGAGUAAUAUAUCGGAACGUGCCCAGUCGUGGGGGAUAACGUAGCGAAAGUUACGCUAAUACCGCAUACGAUCUAAGGAUGAAAGCGGGGGAUCGCAAGACCUCGCGCGAUUGGAGCGGCCGAUAUCAGAUUAGGUAGUUGGUGGGGUAAAGGCUCACAAAGCCAACGACCUGUAGCUGGUCUGAGAGGACGACCAGCCACACUGGAACUGAGACACGGGCCAGACUCCUACGGGAGGCAGCAGUGGGGAAUUUUGGACAAUGGACGCAAGUCUGAUCCAGCCAUUCCGCGUGCAGGAUGAAGGCCCUCGGGUUGUAAACUGCUUUUGUACGGAACGAAAAGGUCUCUCUUAAUACGGGGGGCUCAUGACGGUACCGUAAGAAUAAGCACCGGCUAACUACGUGCCAGCCGCCGCCGUAA